rnacentral:rRNA from 1 species
GAAUUCCAUGUGUAGCGGUGAAAUGCGUAGAGAUAUGGAGGAACACCGGUGGCGAAGGCGACUUUCUGGUCUGAAACUGACACUGAGGUGCGAAAGCGUGGGGAGCAAACAGGAUUAGAUACCCUGGUAGUCCACGCCGUAAACGAUGACUACUUGGAGGUUGAUGCCUUGAGGAGUGGCUUGCGGAGCUAACGCGUUAAGUCGACCGCCUGGGGAGUACGGGCGCAAGGGUAAAACUCAAAUGAAUUGACGGGGGGCCCCACAAGCGGGGGAACAUGGGGGUUAAUUCCAAGCAACGCGAAAAACCUUACCUGGGCUUGACAUCCACCGAAUUCUCCAGAAAUGCCUUAGUGCCUUCCGGAACCAUGAGACAGGUGCUGCAUGGCUGUCGUCAGCUCGUGUUGUGAAAUGUUGGGUUAAGUCCCGCAACGAGCGCAACCCUUAUCCUUUGUUGCCAGCGAUUCGGUCGGGAACUCUAAGGAGACUGCCGGUGAUAAACCGGAGGAAGGUGGGGGAUGACGUCAAAUCAUCAUGGCCCUUACGACCUGGGCUACACACGUGCUACAAUGGACGCGUACAAAGAGAUGCGACCUCGCGAGAGGGAGCUGAUCUCAUAAAACGCGUCUCAGUUCGGAUCGGAGGCUGCAACUCGACUACGUGAAGUGGAAUCGCUAGUAAUCGCGGAUCAGCAUGCACGUGAUACGUCCCGGGCUGUACACACCGCCGUCCACCAUGGGAGUGGUUGCAAAGAAUAGUACUAACUUCGGGAGGAGCUACCAUGAUGUGGAUCAUGACUGGGGUGA